rnacentral:rRNA from 1 species
UAUCGAAGACGAUCAGAUACCGUCGUAGUCUUAACCAUAAACUAUGCCGACUAGGGAUCGGGCGAUGUUAUCUUUUUGACUCGCUCGGCACCUUACGAGAAAUCAAAGUCUUUGGGUUCUGGGGGAGGUAUGGUCGCAAGGCUGAAACUUAAAGAAAAUUGACGGAAGGGCACCACCAGGAGUGCGACGAAAUUCGCUUUUUAGCAGACUUCGCUCCUAAAAGCCGCCUGUAAAGGGUCGGUGGUGUCCUGGCGAGAGGUCGAACAAGGCUAGUCACGCAAGUGGCAACAUCGCCAAACUGCGGGAACACCCUAAAGCUCUACCUACCAACCGGCCGUCGAAAGGCGUCCGGGGCCCGGCUAACACCCGGGGUACGGUCACAACGGUAGAGAUGUACAAUGGGUUAUCCGCAACCAAGCCCCUACAGCUUCGUGCCACGGGGAAGGUUCAGAGACUAAAUGGCGGUGGGCUCGAGGAGCUUAAGAUAUAGUCCGUCCGGGGAUAACGUCCCACGGAACCCAAACGGGAGCCUGCGGCUUAAUUUGACUCAACACGG